GGUGAGACCGAGACUAGUCCACACUGGCCUCUUCGUUCGUGUUUUGUGCUUUCAUAUCAGCGCACCAUAUUUGAAGACAUAUUAAGUAUCACUGUUUUCAACAAGCAAGAUACUCCCUCGUUUCAGUACCCUUCAUUCAUUGAUCUUGACAUCUUACCAGGUUCACCAAGGUUGCCUCUGACUGCUUGAUCAAGACGAAAACCAAAGAUGCAUAGGAGGGGCAAUUCACGAUGUAAGGCUUCAUCAUCUAAUCAAAACAUGACCUGUGAAGCUGCCGGCACUACAAGUAAGGCAAUUCCUUUGGAAACUUGUAAGUUGAGCGAUGAUCUGAAUUUGCUUCAAUUGAUGCUAAGAGAAAAGCUUUCUGACCCCUUUCAGCCGCCUUUCAGCCGCCCGCGCGUGGAGUUAAGAUAGUUAUCACAACAAGAAACGAUGGCGUCCCAUCGAUCAUGGGUGGCUUUUCACACCACCAUCUAGAGGCAUUAUCAGAAUAUGAUUGCUUGUCAGUGUUUGCACAUCAUGUUUUAGAAAAGCAAAAUUUGAUGCAAUCCAAAUCUGCAAGCUUUUGGGUAAGAAUAGCAAGCUAGUGUAAGGGCUUACCGUUGGCAGCAAAAUUUUUUUGAGGGGAAGCUGCGUUCCACGCUAAAAGAUAUCAAAUUGUGAGAUAUGGGAUAUAUAUACAUGAGAGAAUGAAUGGAGUUUUUCCACCCCUAUGUUGCCACAACAGGAUAGUUUUUUAUGGUAGCCGACGGAUUUGUACCAUUUGUUGCCGCACUAGUUUGUCCCUUGAGGAGUUAACUGUAUGUACUGAUGGCUGCUGCAAUAUUCCGAAUAAGCUGAGGAAAUCAUGAGCUAGUACUUCAAUGCAAUGGAGUCCUGGGUUGGAUGAAGGCAAUUCAUCAGUGCCUGAUUGUGAGCACUCUUCGACUUUCAAACACCGAUCAUUUUGCAGUUUCCAUGGAGGAGUAUUCAACGAAUGAACAAGGAUCUUCUCAUGGUUUGGCCACAUUGGCUGUGGAAAAACAAGGGGGGAUUCCAGAUCUUGGAUCGCUUUUCGUAUCUUCUUUGUAGAGCUUUUGGCUGGCUCGGAUAAUUCAGGUAUGGAAUAUUAUAUCUCUCACACACACACACACACACACACACACACACACACACACACUAGCUAGCUAGCAGUACUGCAAUAAAAUCUGCAUAUUUUGGCACACCUUCAAAGAACUGUAUGUGGUAGAAGCAAGGUGCGCGUAUAAUUUCUACAGAAAUGAUCUCUAGCUAGAUAUUGCUCCAUAUUAUAUAUAUUGGCACAAUCAGUCAGUUGAAUGCACAAGUCUUGUGUUAUAUAUAGCUAAAUCCAACAGAACUUAAUCAUGAUCAGACCAACAAAAAGGGAAAUGAGGGGGGAAAUGUCAAUAGCGCGCAGUAUUAGGAAAUAUGGUAUGAUCAAUGCGAAAGGCGAGUCGUAGGCGAGUCAGGUUCUUUUAUUUAUUAGUUUACAGAGUGUGAUCCUAUAUAGAGACAUAGUCUUGGUUGGGCGAAGAACAUAUCUGCAGUAAGAUCGAUCGACCAAAUUCCUCCUGGAGUUGGUGAUGAUGGAGCUGCACUGAGUGUACGUGGGGUUCAAUUUCUAAGACCUAGGCUGCAAUAUUGAGCUUGGGUGGCCAAACCACUCGCGGUACAGGUGAAUGCAUCAAAAUCUAGGUGAGAUUCUAUCAACUUCUUUUUAUUUAAUUUUUAUCUAUAAAAUAUUAUUUUAUUUAAAAAAUUGUCUAAAACAACGCUAUUUUAAAUAAAAAUUAAAAAAUUAUUAAUUUGCAGGUUGACCUAUCCCACCUGUAAUCUAA